ACUUAUAUUGACAUCAUGCAUUUUCUUUUUGGUAGCUUAUCUCAUCAAAACUCCACAGUUAAGCGUGCUUGACUUGGAGUAAUAUAGGGAUGGGUGACCUUCUGGGAAGUUUCUUAGAAAAUGUGCA
rnacentral:rRNA from 1 species